rnacentral:rRNA from 1 species
GCAGGUGAGAGCUUCGGCGCAUCAUCGACCGAUCCUGAUGUUCUCGGAAGGAUUUGAGUAAGAGUUUUAACGGACGGACCCGAAAGACAGUGAACUAUGCUUGUAUAGGGUGAAGCCAGAGGAAACUCUGGUGGAGGCUCGCAGCGGUUCUGACGUGCAAAUCGAUCGUCAAAUAUGAGCAUGGGGGCGAAAGACUAAUCGAACUGUCUAGUAGCUGGUUACCGCCGAAGUUUCCCUCAGGAUAGCAGUGUUGAUCUUCAGUUUUAUGAGGUAAAGCGAAUGAUUAGGGACUCGGGGGCGCUAUAUUGCCUUCAUCCAUUCUCAAACUUUAAAUAUGUAAGAAGCCCUUGUUACUUAGUUGAACGUGGGCAUUCGAAUGUACCAACACUAGUGGGCCAUUUUUGGUAAGCAGAACUGGCGAUGCGGGAUGAACCGAACGCGGGGUUAAGGCGCCAGAGUGUACGCUCAUCAGACACCACAAAAGGCGUUAGUACAUCUUGACAGCAGGACGGUGGCCAUGGAAGUCGGAAUCCGCUAAGGACUGUGUAACAACUCACCUGCCGAAUGUACUAGCCCUGAAAAUGGAUGGCGCUCAAGCGUACCGCCCAUACCCCGCCCCCAGGGUAGAAACGAUGCCCUGGGGAGUAGGCGGCCGUGGGGGUCUGUGACGAA